UACGUAGGGUGCAAGCGUUGUCCGGAAUUAUUGGGCGUAAAGAGCUCGUAGGCGGUUUGUCGCGUCUGCCGUGAAAGUCCGGGGCUCAACUCCGGAUCUGCGGUGGGUACGGGCAGACUAGAGUGAUGUAGGGGAGACUGGAAUUCCUGGUGUAGCGGUGAAAUGCGCAGAUAUCUGGAGGAACACCGGUGGCGAAGGCGACAUCCUGGACCGGUAUUGGACGCUGAGGCGCGAAAGCGUGGGGAGCGAACGAGG
rnacentral:rRNA from 1 species